AAGUUUCGUUGCGAAAUGUUGUAAAAUGCGGAUAAUAUAGCUCAGCGAAGUUUGCCGUUUUUCAUUUUGUAUUUAUUACGCACGGGAAAUUGAUACCUUUUUUCUGAAAGCGAUAUCAAUUUCCCGUGCGUAAUACAAAAUGACUGAAAAACGGCAAACUUCGCAGGGCUAUAUUAUCCGCAUUUUACAACAUUUCGCAACGAAACUU